GCUAGUUGGUAAGGUAACGGCUUACCAAGGCUAUGACGGCUAGGUGGUCUGAGAGGACGAUCACCCACACUGGGACUGAGACACUGCCCAGACUCCUGCGGGAGGCUGCAGUCGAGAAUCUUCCGCAAUGCGCGAAAGCGUGACGGAGCAAUGCCGCGUGAUCGAAGACGGCCUUCGGGUUGUAAAGAUCUGUCAGGGGGGAAAAACGAUGAUGGUACCCCCAGAGGAAGCCACGGCUAACUACGUGCCAGCAGCCGCGGUAAUACGUAGGUGGCGAGCAUUAUUCGGAAUUACUGGGCGUAAAGGGUCCGCAGGUGGUUUACUAAGUCAGAUGUGAAAUUUCAGUGCUUAACACUGAACCUGCAUUUGAAACUGGUAGACUAGAGUAUGUGAGAGGUAAGCGGAAUUUGUGGUGUAGCGGUGGAAUGCGUAGAUAUCACAAGGAAGACCAAAGGCGAAGGCAGCUUACUG
rnacentral:rRNA from 1 species